UGAGUAAUGCCUAGGAAUCUGCCUGGUAGAUGGGGGAUAACGUCCGGAAACGGGCGCUAAUACCGCAUACGUCCUGAGGGAGAAAGUGGGGGAUCUUCGGACCUCACGCUAUCAGAUGAGCCUAGGUCGGAUUAGCUAGUUGGUGGGGUAAAGGCCUACCAAGGCGACGAUCCGUAACUGGUCUGAGAGGAUGAUCAGUCACACUGGAACUGAGACACGGUCCAGACUCCUACGGGAGGCAGCAGUGGGGAAUAUUGGACAAUGGGCGAAAGCCUGAUCCAGCCAUGCCGCGUGUGUGAAGAAGGUCUUCGGAUUGUAAAGCACUUUAAGUUGGGAGGAAGGGCAGUAAGUUAAUACCUUGCUGUUUUGACGUUACCAACAGAAUAAGCACCGGCUAACUUCGUGCCAGCAGCCGCGGUAAUACGAAGGGUGCAAGCGUUAAUCGGAAUUACUGGGCGUAAAGCGCGCGUAGGUGGUUCAGCAAGUUGGAUGUGAAAUCCCCGGGCUCAACCUGGGAACUGCAUCCAAAACUACUGAGCUAGAGUACGGUAGAGGGUGGUGGAAUUUCCUGUGUAGCGGUGAAAUGCGUAGAUAUAGGAAGGAACACCAGUGGCGAAGGCGACCACCCUGGACUGAUACUGACACUGAGGUGCGAAAGCGUGGGGGAGCAAACAGGAUUAGAUACCCUGGUAGUCACA
rnacentral:rRNA from 1 species